UGAGGAAUAUUGGUCAAUGGACGCAAGUCUGAACCAGCCAUGCCGCGUGAAGGAUGAAGGCCUUCUGGGUUGUAAACUUCUUUUACCGGGGAAGAAAACUAUGGUUUCUACUAUAGCCGACGGUACCCGAGGAAUAAGCACCGGCUAACUCCGUGCCAGCAGCCGCGGUAAUACGGAGGGUGCAAGCGUUAUCCGGAUUCACUGGGUUUAAAGGGUGUGUAGGCGGGUAGUUAAGUCAGUGGUGAAAUCUCCAGGCUCAACCUGGAAACUGCCAUUGAUACUAUCUAUCUUGAAUACUGUUGAGGUAGGCGGAAUAAGUCAUGUAGCGGUGAAAUGCAUAGAUAUGACUUAGAACACCAAUUGCGAAGGCAGCUUACUAAACAGUUAUUGACGCUGAGGCACGAAAGCGUGGGGAUCAAACAG
rnacentral:rRNA from 1 species